ACUUGGAAACCAGAAUGAAUGUGAAUUCAUUGUAGGGAGGCGGGAAAACUUUCAAAAGCUUGCACAUAAUAAUGAUGAAGCCUCUUGGCACUGUGCCCCCAGCCUCUACCCACCCGCUCAGAGGAAUAUACCAUCACCCCCAGCUUACAGCAGUUUAAAUAUCUGGAUGAAGCUGGAAACCAUCAUUCUGAGCAAACUUAUCGCAAGGACAGAAAACCAAACACCACAUGUUCUCACCCGUAGGUGGGAAUUGAACAAUGAGAACACUUGGACACAGGAUGGGGAACAUCAUACA